AUGCCGCCUAUCCGCGCCCCUCCCACACACUCCCGACCUCCUCCCGGCGUACCACCGCCCCUGCUCCUCCUCCUCCUCCUCCAGGAGGACGCGCCGCCGCCCCUGUUCUUCCUUCCUCCUAUCGGCAUGCGUGCCGCCACCCCUCUGGCCGUCGCCGGCAUCCCGUUCGAGCCCGUGGAUCCGAGGAAGAUGGAGACGAUGGAUGAUGGGAAGGACCAGCGGCUGCCUAGUGGUGACCUCGUGGAAGCAGACGGUCGACAAAGACCAUCAUCGAGGCUGCUACUGGAGUUCAGCAGAAGGAUUCACAUCAGUGCAAAUCUCCGGUGGGAGUAA
rnacentral:rRNA from 1 species